GACGAACGCUGGCGGCGUGCUUAACACAUGCAAGUCGAACGGAAAGGCCCUGCUUUUGUGGGCUGCCCGAGUGGCGAACGGGUGAGUAACACGUGAGUAACCUGCCCUUCACUUUGGGAUAACUUCAGGAAACUGGGGUUAAUCCAGGAUCGGAUCUCCCGCUGCAUGGUGGGGGUUGGAACGUUUCGGCGGUUGGGGAUGGACUCGCGGCUUAUCGGCUUGCUGGUGGGGUAGUGGCUUACCAAGGCUUUGACCGGUAGCCGGCCUGUGAGGGUGACCGGCGACAUUAGGACUGAGGUACGGCCCAGACUCCUACAGUAGGCAGCAGUGGGGAAUAUUGCACAGUGGGAGGGAGCCUGAUGCGACAACGCCGCGUGCGGGAUGACGGCCUUCGGGUUGUGAACCGCAUUCGCCUGUGACGAAGCGGGAGUGACGGUAAUGGGUAAAGAAGCACCGGCUAACUACGUG
rnacentral:rRNA from 1 species